rnacentral:rRNA from 1 species
UUACGGUCAAAUCACGCUGAAAACACUGGUUCUCGUUCGAUCACCGAAGUUAAGCAUCGUAGAGCCAGGUCAGUACUUAGAUGGAGGAACGCUUGGGAACACCUGGUACUGUAAGC